rnacentral:rRNA from 1 species
AUUGAACGCUGGCGGCAGGCCUAACACAUGCAAGUCGAGCGGGGUUUUCGGACCUAGCGGCGGACGGGUGAGUAAUGUGUAGGAAGCUACCCGAUAGAGGGGGAUACCAGUUGGAAACGACUGUUAAUACCGCAUAAUGUCUACGGACCAAAGUGUGGGACCUUCGGGCCACAUGCUAUCGGAUGCGCCUACGUGGGAUUAGCUAGUUGGUGAGGUAAUGGCUCACCAAGGCGACGAUCCCUAGCUGGUUUGAGAGGAUGAUCAGCCACACUGGAACUGAGACACGGUCCAGACUCCUACGGGAGGCAGCAGUGGGGAAUAUUGGACAAUGGGCGCAAGCCUGAUCCAGCCAUGCCGCGUGUGUGAAGAAGGCCUUCGGGUUGUAAAGCACUUUCAGUAGGGAGGAAGGGUUAAGUGUUAAUAGUACUUAACUUUGACGUUACCUACAGAAGAAGCACCGGCUAACUCUGUGCCAGCCGCCGCCGUAAUAC